GUACAACCCUCACCUAAACACUUCUGUAAUCUCCCUCCCAUCUCGUGGUCUAAUCAUAUGCUUUCCUGGCCCCCUAAACACCUCUAUUCUCUUGUUCAGAGAAAUGGUCUGAGUAAAUACUUCCUUCCAAAUGUCUUUGAAAGUAAUGAAAUAGUAUUUUAACCCAGGUCUGGUGCUGUGCGACUCCACACACUGCUGAGUGGCUGUAUUUCAAAUCAAACUUUAUUUGUCACAUGCGCCGAAUACAACAGGUGCAGGUAGACCUUACAGUGAAAUGCUGAAUACAACAGGUGCAGGUAGACCUUACAGUGAAAUGCUGAAUACAACAGGUGCAGGUAGACCUUACAGUGAAAUGCUGAAUACAACAGGUGCAGGUAGACCUUACAGUGAAAUGCUGAAUACAACAGGUGUAGGUAGACCUUACAGUGAAAUGCUGAAUACAACAGGUGUAGGUAGACCUUACAGUGAAAUGCUUACUUACAGGCCCUAACCAACAGUGCAAUUUUUAAGUAAAGAAUAGGUAUUAGGUGAACAAUAGAUAAGUAAAGAAAUGAAAAACAGUAAGAAGACAGUGAAAAAUAACAGUAG
rnacentral:lncRNA from 1 species